CAGCUCUUACGAUGCUGAAUGUGCUCAGGAGACCUGGUGUCACAAGGGGCUGGUGGGUCGCAGUGUCUCAACCUCAGCAUGUAGAAUGUCAAGAGCGUGCUCGUAACAGACGAACGAGGGGAGAAAACAUCCACCAGAUAAGAAUCCUGUGGGACCUGUGUUCUGUGUCAACCUCUACUGCAUAAUCACCAGACAUGUCACCCCAUUGAACAUGUUUUGGAUGCUCUGGAUCGACAUGUAAAACAGUGUAUUCCAGCUCCCGCCAAUAUCCAGCAACUUCGCACAGCCAUUGAAGAGUGGAGCAGCAUUCCACAGGCCACAAUCAACAACUCAAUGUGAAGGAGAUGUGCCACGUCGCAUGAGGCAAAUCGUCACACCAAAUACUGACUGGUUUUCUGAUCCAAGCUCCUACUAUUUAAAAAUAAAAUAAAUUGUAUCUAUGACCAACAUCUGUGUUCCCAGUAUUGUGAAAUCCAUAGAUUAGGGCUUAAUGUGUCACGCCCUGACCUUAGAGCUUUUUAUGUCUCUAUUUUGGGUUUGGUCAGGGUGUGAUUUGGGUGGGCAUUCUAUGUUCUAUUUUCUAUGUUUUUGUAUCUCUAUGUUUUGGCCGGGUAUGGUUCUCAUUCAGGGACAGCUGUCUAUCGUUGUCUCUGAUUGGGAACCAUACUUAGGUAGCCCUUUUCCCUCCUUUCUGUGUGGGAAGUCUUUGUUUGUGUGCUGGUAGUUUGCACAAUGAAGCUGUUCGGUCGUUAUGUUCUUUAUUGCUUUGUCUUUUCUAAAGUUUCACUUCGUUAAUAAAUUAUGUGGAA